UUGCAGAUAAAAACACUGAAUGUACUGUGAAAUGUGCAAAUGAAAACUGUCCACAUGGUUUCCUGCAUUUUAAAUGCAUUUCAAUCAAAAGAAAACCCAAACCCCCAUAUUACUGUCCAUCAUGCAGACAUAAGAUGUGGAAGUAAUAUCCACUUGUGAUACUUAACUGUGAUUGAUACAGAUACAAGUUUUUGUUGAGGAUGACCAUGGCAUUGAUAUUUCUGAAAACAUCUUGGAAGCAGACCAGACGUAAUGAAACACAGCAUCUGGUCUGUUUCCUAGCUGUUUGACAUUCAGACAAUAUUUCUUUAUGAAAAUAAAUGGGGCAUAAAAUAUGCAUUGUAGUAUUAUAAAUUGUUUCUUUGAUACUUAAAUAAUAUAUCUUUCCUUUUUAUAAUUUUCAUGAAAGAAUGUAAAUUAUAAAAAUAACUGUGUUUCAGGUAGUCAUUAAAUCAGGUUUUAAAUUUAAGAAUUUCUAUUAAAUCAGUAAUGUAUUAUACUUCUUCUUUUACUUCUGAACAUUUUUAAGCUAAAAAGAUUGUACAUUAUUAGAAUAAUUUACAAACCACUACUAUAAAGUUUUACUUUCAUUUAUACAUGUAUGCAGUGACUUUAUACUAAUUAACAGCUUAAGUUUUAAUCAGUUUUAGUUGCUUCCCACUUCAUGAUAACUGUGAUAUAACAAAUAUUUGGUAUGUGUUAUUUAUGCAUGUAAUAACUGGUAUGAUAUCUUGAAAGUGCAGUCUGAUCAGGAUCCAAACUGUUUGCUAUUCAGUCAGUAAAACAAAGAUGUUAAUCCAAUAGUCUGGAUUUUUAUAAGACUGUGUUUUUAUAAGCAGGCUGAUAUGGAUCAAAACUGGUCGCAUUUGCCACAAGGUCUCUUUUCCUGUGACACUGUAUCAUCAUGCUAUGCACAUGUAUGCCUGUCUCAUCAUUAAUUAAAUGUGCUUUUCUUGCAAAGCUAAGGCCACAUCAAAUUGUUUACUUGUUUUUUUUUUAAACAAAUAUGUAUUUUUUUCUGAAGCAAGCAAAAAAAAAAAAAGAAAUUUAGUUUUAAUAAUUUUUAUAUUUAUGCCAUCAACAAGAUUUAUCCUCCGCUACAGAUGCCAGAAAUUCUAUCGAAAUUAAGCAACAUAUAUGAACAGAAGCAAGCAAACAAAUACUAUAUACAUGCAUAAGAACAUUCUGUUUUCCUUUUCCGAAUAAAUUAGAGCGAGUAUCUUGUUAUCAAUUCGAUGUGGCUGUUGUCUAAUAUAUUAUUCCUUUCAUAUAGCAUGUGCUACUGUUUGCCUUAGUGCUAUCAGCUUAUGGUUUGCAUGUUUGAUGUUAAAUAAAUCUUGAAUAUUUUA